rnacentral:rRNA from 1 species
CCUACGGGAGGCAGCAGUGGGGAAUAUUGCACAAUGGGGGAAACCCUGAUGCAGCGACGCCGCGUGAGUGAAGAAGUAUUUCGGUAUGUAAAGCUCUAUCAGCAGGGAAGAAGAAAGACGGUACCUGACUAAGAAGCCCCGGCUAACUACGUGCCAGCAGCCGCGGGAAUACGGAGGGGGCAAGCGUUAUCCGGAUUUACUGGGUGUAAAGGGAGCGUAGACGGCUGUGCAAGUCUGAAGUGAAAGCCCAGGGCUCAACCCUGGGACUGCUUUGGAAACUGUGGAGCUAGAGUGCUGGAGAGGUAAGUGGAAUUCCUAGUGUAGCGGUGAAAUGCGUAGAUAUUAGGAGGAACACCAGUGGCGAAGGCGGCUUACUGGACAGUAACUGACGUUGAGGCUCGAAAGCGUGGGGAGCAAACAGGAUUAGAUACCCGAGUAGUC